CUCAGUUGGAUUCAGAAGAGAGAGAAGGCUGCUGCAGGCUGGAGAGACGUGGUGUUUUCCCACAACACAAACUUUUGUAAAUAUACCUUUUUUAAAACCUGAACUACACAUUGGAGCAGCUGGAGCUGCACCCCCGGGUGUUGGCAGUCUUGACUAAGGAAUGCUAGGAUGCCGACCUGGAGAUUGCUCAAGACGGCGUGGUCAUUGAGUCAGUAGGCCCGUCGUGAAUAAAACAACUUCGUGGCUCUUCUUCCCUCUGCUUUACUCUGUGCAUAGAUCAACUGGACGACAAGACACAAAAGAGAGCUACGGUCUGAAUUAAAAUCAGGGUGCCAUUAUCUGAUGAUAAAAGCCAUGUCCAGAGGAAUGUCACCCAUUAACCGUGCCAACUGUCGAUGGAGUCAAGAAUCCCCUGCAUGUUUGUCUGCAACUGACCCGGUCUGAACCCUCCACCAUUCCACCAGGCUAUCGGCGUGAGUAGGCGAGGAGAGAUGGCCACAUCGAGGCUGCUAAAAGGCUCGCUCCCAGUGCUGCGUGACGGCUUCCUCCAUUCACAUCUCUCCUGUUCUUAUAUCUCUUCGUUCUGUUUUUCUCCUCUUUGCUUCCCCCUCUCUCUGUUACGCUUGCUGCUGUGUUUCUUCUGUUCGUGCCUUCUCUGUUCUCUCCAUGCCUGCUCAUAAUCUUGUCUUGCAAAAAGGGUUCUUCUUUCUCAUUCCUUUUCAGUUUCUUCGUGGACUCUGCAGACCCUCGCUUGCCAUUUCAGUUCACUUUCUCAAGCACUUCCGGUGGCCUGGCCUGUUAUUUCUCCUUUGAACAAAGAAUGCUACUGUUAAAAGACUUCUAAAUCAGUAUUACUAAUCAGUAUUUGAGGUGAGAGGUAGUGGAUUCCCCUCAUUCUGUGCAUGCUGGUAUGGGUGGUCUGGCUUCCUGGUUCAGAAGCCAAUGCAAGAUUUGUGUAAAGUGAUGUGUUCUCAAUCUGAGAAGUGUGGGUCUCAGGCUUUGAUGCUAAACCUUCUCUCUUCACUUCCUUCUAGGCAUCCGAUGAUCUAAUUAACAUACUGUAUUAUUAUCGCCUAACUCACAGCAAUUUUAGACUUUGAUCCUUGAUCCAUGUGUGAGCUGUCCUUUUGUCACAUACUCUUGGCCAGUUUCUUGGUCUUUUGCUCCCAAUACAGAUGUUAAACCACAUUCUUGUGUGUAAACCUAUGGCUACCUUAUUUUAUUUCUCUCUGUUAACUAAAGCCGGAUCUACUUGGGCCCUGUUUGGGAGAAUUCUCCUUCUGAAUAGUUUCUUCUUAUCAGCUAAUAGCCUGCUUCCCUGUCUGCCUCCAGCCUGUGUACCAUAUGUUAUCUUCUAUACCAGAUCAAAUGACAUUAGGCUGAAACAAUCACGAAAAUGUCUCCAACAUUUUUCAUUCUUAAGUGCUGCAUUAUUGCUGGCCCCUCAGCUGUCCUCUGUUACAGAGACAUAAGUCAUGCUCAUU